GCCAGCGUGGUGUAAGGGUAACAUAUCUCCCGAAGAUGAGACUUAGACCUUUAGGGGCCGGGGGAGAAGUCCUGGGUUCGAUCCCCAGCACUGGCG